rnacentral:rRNA from 1 species
CAAACUUGGUCAUUUAGAGGAAGUAAAAGUCGUAACAAGGUUUCCGUAGGUGAACCUGCGGAAGGAUCAUUAUUGAAWACAAAGUCUCGGAUGAUGCUGGCACUCGUUUGCAGGUGCACUCCCUGAACUUUCUGUCCCCCUAUUCACACCUUUUGUGCACGACCCUGUAGGUUGGUCAAACAAAGCCAGCCUAUGUUUUUCUCUCAACACACCUUUGAUAUGUUGAUGAAUGUACAUUUUAUUAAAGUAAACACAACUUUCAACAAUGGAUCUCUUGGUUCUCGCAUCGAUGAAGAACGCAGCGAAAUGCGAUACGUAAUGUGAAUUGCAGAAUUCCGUGAAUCAUCGAAUCUUUGAACGCACCUUGCGCCCCUUGGCAUUCCGAGGGGCAUGCCUGUUUGAGAGUCAUUKAAAUUUCUCAACUUUGAGCGGGAGUCGUAAAAGACUCUGGCUCAAAGCUUGGACUCUGGAGUGUGCUGGCUCUCCUCCCGGGGUUGCUGGCUCCUCUGAAAUGUAUUAGCGAAAAAACCUGAUCGUGUAACGGUCAAGCUUUUCAGCUGGCAUUGAUAGUCGAUGUCUAUGCCUCACGCUGGUCAACGUCGGUCCUUUCGCUCACAACUCGUCUGCUUCUCCAGACAAUGAUUUCAACAUCUGACCUCAAAUCACGUAGGACUNNACCCGCUGAACUUAAGCAUAUCAAUAAGCGGAGGAA